GACGUAGGGCGCGAGCGUUGUCCGGAUUUAUUGGGCGUAAAGAGCUCGUAGGCGGCUUGUCGCGUCGACUGUGAAAACCCGUGGCUCAACCAUGUGGUCUGCAGUCGAUACGGGCAGGCUAGAAUUCGGUAGGGGAGACUGGAAUUCCUGGUGUAGCGGUGAAAUGCGCAGAUAUCAGGAGGAACACCGGUGGCGAAGGCGGAUCUCUGGGCCGGUAUUGACGCUGAGGAGCGAAAGCGUGGGGAGCGAACAGG
rnacentral:rRNA from 1 species